rnacentral:rRNA from 1 species
UGCCGCGUGAGUGAUGAAGGCCUUCGGGUUGUAAAACUCUUUUACCAGGGAAGAUAAUGACUGUACCUGGAGAAUAAGCCCCGGCUAACUUCGUGC